UAGUCUGAUAUAUUGUAAAGUUAAAAUUUUAUCAAAAAUAAAUAAAACAUCGAUGACGCGUCAUUGAAAGGACACUGCAUGCAGUAUUACAAGAUGUUUCACCAUGCACGUUAAUCCUCUCUCGCUAGCCGCAAGUCAGUGACCGGAACCAGUUAGGAAUCGAAUAUCGAUAUAAAAUAAAAAGCUUAUUUGAAUACAAUAAUCUUAUCACAAUGAUGGAGUUUCUGAUUUAUUAUUUAUUAGGAACUUUAGUAUUUAUAUUCUUUUACGAAGUCGUUAAGUAUUUGAAGGAAAAAGGUAUUGGAGCGAAGAUUUGUAAUUUUGCGAAACCAAAUCAAAGGAAGGAAAUAGUGAUGACAUUUCAAGAAAAUGGCGGGAAGGGAGUAGAAAGUACCACCAAUGACGUCAUUGCAUAAGAAAACGAAAAUGCGUUUUUGUCCUUUAUGUUUUGUUAAAUUGUUAUAAAUAAAAAUGUUACAUAGCC